rnacentral:rRNA from 1 species
AUUGAACGCUGGCGGCAGGCCUACCACAUGCAAGUCGAACGAGUGGCGGACGGGUGAGUAAUGUCUGGGAAACUGCCCGAUGGAGGGGGAUAACUACUGGAAACGGUAGCUAAUACCGCAUACCAUCGGAUGUGCCCAGAUGGGAUUAGCUUGUUGGUGGGGUAACUGCGAACCUAGGCGACGAUCCCUAGCUGGUCUGAGAGGAUGACCAGCCACACUGGAACGUAGACACGGUCCAGACUCCUACGGGAGGCAGCAGUGGGGAAUAUUGCACAAUGGGCGGAAGCCUGAUGCAGCCAUGCCGCGUGUAUGAAGAAGGCCUUCGGGUUGGAAAGUACUUUCAGCGAGGAGGCGUUACUCGCAGAAGAAGCACCGGCUAACGCCGUGCCAGCAGCCGCGGUAAUUC